rnacentral:rRNA from 1 species
GUAACGCGUGGAAACGUGCCUUUCACUACGGAAUAGCUCCGGGAAACUGGAAUUAAUACCGUAUACGCCCUCCGGGGGAAAGAUUUAUCGGUGAAAGAUCGGUCCGCGUUAGAUUAGAUAGUUGGUGGGGUAAUGGCCUACCAAGUCUACGAUCUAUAGCUGGUCUGAGAGGAUGAUCAGCCACACUGGGACUGAGACACGGCCCAGACUCCUACGGGAGGCAGCAGUGGGGAAUAUUGCACAAUGGGCGAAAGCCUGAUGCAGCCAUGCCGCGUGAAUGAUGAAGGCCUUAGGGUUGUAAAAUUCUUUCGCUAGGGACGAUAAUGACGGUACCUAGUAAAGAAGCCCCGGCUAACUUCGUGCCAGCAGCCGCGGUAAUACGAAGGGGGCUAGCGUUGUUCGGAAUUACUGGGCGUAAAGCGCGCGUAGGCGGACUAACAAGUUGGAUGUGAAAUCCCAGGGCUCAACUCUGGAACUGCAUUCAAAACUGUUAGUCUAGAGGCCAGGAGAGGUCAGUGGAAUACCGAGUGUAGAGGUGAAAUUCGUAGAUAUUCGGUGGAACACCAGUGGCGAAGGCGACUGACUGGACUGGUACUGACGCUGAGGUGCGAAAGUGUGGGGAGCAAACAGGAUUAGAUACCCUGGUAGUCC